AACUAUACAAUGGAGAGUUUGAUCCUGGCUCAGGACGAACGCUGGCGGCGUGCUUUAAACAUGCAAGUCAAGGAGAACAUAUUCUUCGGAAUACUAGUAAACUGGCGAACGGGUGAGUAACACGUAGGUAAUCUGCCCUAGAGAUUGGGAUAACCCCGGGAAACCGGAGCUAAUACCGAAUAAUGCAGCGGAUCCUUCGGGAUAUGUUGUUAAAGCGGGCACUUGUGCUCGCACUUUAGGAUGAGCCUGCGUCCGAUUAGCUUGUUGGUGGGGUAAUAGCCUACCAAGGCAAUGAUCGGUAGCUGGUCUGAGAGG
rnacentral:rRNA from 1 species